GGUCCCGUAGUUCAACGGAUAGAAUAGAAGUUUCCUAAACUUUAGAUGUGGGUUCGAUUCCCGCCGGGACCA
rnacentral:tRNA from 6 species